rnacentral:rRNA from 1 species
ACGAACGCUGGCGGCGUGCUUAACACAUGCAAGUCGAACGGAAAGGCCUGCUUUCCCUUGUGGAUUGCGGGUACUCGAGUGGCGAACGGGUGGGUAACACGUGAGUGAUCUGCCCCCAACUUGGGUAUAAGCCUGGGAAACUGGGUCUAAUUCCCGAUAGGACUGCAGGGUGGUGCCUGUGGUGGAAAACGCUUUUCUAGUGGUUGGGGAUGAGCUCGCGGCCUAUCAGCUUGUUGGUGGGGUAAUGGCCUACCAAGGCGGCGACGGGUAGCCGGCCUGAGAGGGUGGACGGCCACAUUGGGACUGAGAUACGGCCCAGACUCCUACGGGAGGCAGCAGUGGGGAAUAUUGCACAAUGGGCGGAAGCCUGAUGCAGCGACGCCGCGUGGGGGAUGACGGCCUUCGGGUUGUAAACUCCUUUCGACCGCGAGGAAGCCACCUGGUUGGAAGGGUGGUGACGGUAGUGGUAGAAGAAGCACCGGCUAACUACGUG